UUGACACAGAGGCGCUACAAGUGGUCGCGAAUGUUUGCUUGUGGUCGGGUGUUUUGCUUUGGAUGCCGCCAAAUUUUGCUUCAUCUUGAUCUCAUUCCGGAGAAAGGAGGCUAUUUCAUUUUGCACGGAGACUUGUCAGCUUAUGUGUAUCGCUUAGCAAUUACGUUGGACUAACGUGUUUUCAAAAUGACAUUGAUCGAGAUAAGGAAUUGGACACCAGAGUAUUACGUCGUAAAUCAGUCGAACUGUGAACAGAUUCUAAAAGGUCCAGAUACACUAAUGGAUAUACCUUUAUUGAAUAACGCUCAACGCUGCAUGAUAUUAAAGACAAAGAAUUGGUCAGAUUUUGAGGGAUGAUUUAGGAUAUAUACAAUCCUGAGUAUUAUUUUAAGCAGAGGUGAAAAACACAAACACUUGGGAGUGACGUUAGAUGUGGAAUGUACACAGAUGCAGCUUGUUGCCUGCCACACGAGGAAAUUUUGAUGUACUCCAAGAAGAAUAAAAAUGCCGAGAGACAAACUUAUAUUGUGAUCUCUGUAUCUGAACGAAAUGACUGAGCAAGGGAAAGGAAUACGAGUACACGGACACCUGAUAUGAUCAACAUGCAGUAACAAUGUCAACAAAAGGAGCCUGGAUGAUGACAACUUAGAGGAAAUGGAUUAUUUGGAACCAGUUACAAAAAAAGAGAGAAAAUCUCGGCGGGUAACAAUGAUGCAAAUAUACGAGCAAGAAGCUUGUAGAUUUGAAGACUAGUUAAGAGGAGCUCGUUGCUUAAAAAAAAAAUCUUUUAUCCAAUAUAUUUCAAUACAUACAUCCUCAAAAAUUAAUAAACUUAUUCGCGCAGAAAUAAAUUUUUCCAUGCUUCAAUAAUUAUAUGUUUGUUCCUACACUUGAAUAGCCUGUUGUAAAUCAUUUAUGUCCGAAAAUUAGAAAAUAGCAAAAUCUAUUGUUAGUCAUAUACUGUACUCAAAAUAUUAGAGUACAAAAAAAUCAUCCUUAUAAAUUUUGGGAUAGUUUUCAUGAUUCGAACAUAAAUAAUUUUUUACCUAGAUUAUUCGCUAAUUUUUUCACAUUUACUUGCUCCUUUUGAUACUAUCGAAGUAAAGUUAUGUAAGAAACGUUUAGAACUUGUAAGUACAGUAAAGUCUGCAUGGCAAAAUCUUGGAAGUUA